UUUCCUCUUCUACACUUGAUACUCUUUCUUCUUCUGAAAAAUUAACCUAAUUGCCUGGAAGAAACUCCAAUCUGCAAAAAAAGAGAUAAAUUUAAGUUCUCUCUUUCUGUCUAAUUUUUAUAAGUUUAAAUUCCUGGUUUUACGGGGAACUGCCAAACAAAUAAUGCCAUAAGAACACUAUUUCCAGGCGAUCCAAACACUAUUAAGAAAAUGAAGCAAUGAUAUAGGAAAAGGCGAAAAAAUCGAAUUCUCAUUUAUAUAUCCCUAUCUCAGUCUGAGAAUUACAAGAAUAUGGGAAUAAAGUGAUGUUUUUCUUGUAUAAUCUGACAAAUUAAAAGAGAAAAACAGUAUUUCCAGGCGGUCUAGACACUAUUAAGAAAAUGAAGCAUUGAUAUAGAAGGUGAAAAAAUUGAAUUCUCAUUUAUAUAUCCCUAUCUCAGUCUGAGAAUUACAAGAAUAUGGGAAUAAAGUGAUGUUUUUCUUGUCUAAUCUGACAAAUUAAAAGAGAAAAACACUAUUUCCAGGCGGUCUAAACACUAUUAAAAAAAUAAAGCGAUGAUAUAGGAAAAGGCGAAAAAAUCGAAUUCUCAUUUAUAUAUCCCUAUCUCAGUCUGAGAAUUACAAGAAUAUGGGAAUAAAGUGAUGUUUUUCUUGUCUAAUCUGACAAAUUAAAAGAGAAAAACACUAUUUCCAGGCGAUCCAAACACUAUUAAGAAAAUGAAGCGAUGAUAUAGGAAAAGGUGAAAAAAUCGAAUUCUCAUUUAUAUAUCCCUAUCUCAGUCUGAAAAUUAGAAGAGUAUGGGAAUAAAGUGAUGUUUUUCUUGUCUAAUCUGACAAAUUAAAAGAGAAAAACACUAUUUCCAGGCGAUCUAAACACAAUUAAAAAAAUAAAGCGAUGAUAUAGGAAAAGGUGAAAAAAUCCAAUUCUCAUUUAUAUAUCCCUAUCUCAGUUUGAGAAUGCGGAGAGUAUGGGAAUGAAGUGAUGUUUUUCUUGUCUAAUCUGACAAAUUAAAAGAGAAAAACACUAUUUCCAGGCGAUCCAAACACUAUUAAGAAAAUGAAGCGAUGAUAUAGGAAAAGGUGAAAAAAUCGAAAUCUCAUUUAUAUAUCCCUAUCUCAGUCUGAAAAUUAGAAGAGUAUGGGAAUAAAGUGAUGUUUUUCUUGUCUAAUCUGACAAAUUAAAAGAGAAAAACACUAUUUCUAGGCGGUCUAAACACUAUUAAAAAAAUAAAGCGAUGAUAUAGAAAAAGGCGAAAAAAUCGAAUUCUCAUUUAUAUAUCCCUAUCUCAGUCUGAGAAUUACAAGAAUAUGGGAAUAAAGUGAUGUUUUUCUUGUCUAAUCUGACAAAUUAAAAGAGAAAAACACUAUUUCCAGGCGAUCCAAACACUAUUAAGAAAAUGAAGUGAUGAUAUAGGAAAAGGCAAAAAAAUCGAAUUCUCAUUUAUAUAUCUCUAUCUCAGUCUGAGAAUUACAAGAAUAUGGGAAUAAAGUGAUGUUUUUCUUGUCUAAUCUGACAAACUAAAAGAGAAAAACACUAUUUUAAGGCGAUCUAAACACUAUAAAAAAAAUAAAACGAUGAUAUAGGAAAACGUGCAAAAAUCGAAUUCUCAUUUAUAUAUCCCUAUCUCAGUCUGAGAAUUACAAGAAUAUGGGAAUAAAGUGACGUUUUUCUUGUAUAAUCUGACAAAUUAAAAGAGAAAAACACUAUUUCCAGGCGAUCUAAACACAAUUAAAAAAAUAAAGCGAUGAUAUAGGAAAAGGCGAAAAAAUCCAAUUAUCAUUUAUAUAUCCCUAUCUCAGUCUGAGAAUUACAAGAAUAUGGGAAUAAAGUGAUGUUUUUCUUGUCUAAUCUGACAAAUUAAAAGAGAAAAACACUAUUUCUAGGCGGUCUAAACACUAUUAAAAAAAUAAAGCGAUGAUAUAGGAAAAGGCGAAAAAAUCGAAUUCUCAUUUAUAUAUCCCUAUCUCAGUCUGAGAA
rnacentral:lncRNA from 1 species